rnacentral:rRNA from 1 species
UGGCGGACGGGUGAGUAACGCGUGGGUAACCUGCCUCAUACAGGGGGAUAACAGUUAGAAAUGACUGCUAAUACCGCAUAAGACCACAGCACCGCAUGGUGCAGGGGUAAAGACUCCGGUGGUAUGAGAUGGACCCGCGUCUGAUUAGGUAGUUGGUGGGGUAACGGCCUACCAAGCCGACGAUCAGUAGCCGACCUGAGGGGGUGACCGGCCACAUUGGGACUGAGACACGGCCCAA